UCACUCGGAAGUUAUCCUGAAUCCGAGCCAUUAAACACCGAACAGCUUAUUCCCCCUUUUCUUUCAUCCUUUUUUCAUACGGAGUGUGUGUAUACGAAAGAUACAGUUCCCUUGACAUCAAAUACUCAAAACCGAAAACACAAACCCGCUGCCUGAACAGCGGGUUUGUGUUUU
rnacentral:antisense_RNA from 1 species